AGGACGAACGCUGGCGGCGUGCUUCACACAUGCAAGUCGAACGGGGUCCAACUAGUGGCAACACUAGGGAAGAUCUAGUGGCGAACGGGUGCGUAACACGUGAGGAACCUACCCCGGACUCUGGAAUAACAGCGGGAAACCGCUGCUAAUACUGGAUAUCGUCACAUGGUCGCAUGGCUGAGUGACGAAAGAUUUAUCGGUUCGGGACGGUCUCGCGGCCUAUCAGCUUGUUGGCGGGGUAAUGGCCCACCAAGGCAUCGACGGGUAGCUGGUCUGAGAGGAUGAUCAGCCACACUGGGACUGAGACACGGCCCAGACUCCUACGGGAGGCAGCAGUGGGGAAUCUUGCGCAAUGGGCGAAAGCCUGACGCAGCAACGCCGCGUGGGGGAUGAAGGCUCUCGGGUUGUAAACCCCUUUCAGCAGGAACGAAAUGACGGUACCUGCAGAAGAAGGCCGGCCAACUACGUGCCAGCAGCCGC
rnacentral:rRNA from 1 species